AUUGAACGCUGGGGCAUGCUUUACACAUGCAAGUCGAACGGUAACAGGGUGCUUGCACCGCUGACGAGUGGCGAACGGGUGAGUAAUGCGUCGGAACGUGCCGAGUAGUGGGGGAUAACGCAGCGAAAGUUGUGCUAAUACCGCAUACGUACUGAGGUAGAAAGUGGGGGACCUUCGGGCCUCACGCUAUUCGAGCGGCCGACGUCUGAUUAGCUAGUAGGUGAGGAAAAGGCUCACCUAGGCGACGAUCAGUAGCGGGUCUGAGAGGAUGAUCCGCCACACUGGGACUGAGACACGGCACAGAUUCCUACGGGAGGCAGCAGUGGGGAAUUUUGGACAAUGGGCGAAGGCCUGAUCCAGCCAUGCCGCGUGUCUGAAGAAGGCCUUCGGGUUGUAAAGGACUUUUGUCGGGGAGGAAAUACCCAGCGUUAAUACCGCUGGGGGAUGACAGUACCUGAAGAAUAAGCACCGGCUAACUACGUGCCAGCCGCCGCCGUAACAC
rnacentral:rRNA from 1 species